rnacentral:rRNA from 1 species
AUUGAACGCUGGCGGCAUGCUUUACACAUGCAAGUCGAACGGUAACAGGCCGCAAGGUGCUGACGAGUGGCGAACGGGUGAGUAAUGCAUCGGAACGUGCCCAGUCGUGGGGGAUAACGCAGCGAAAGCUGCGCCAAUACCGCAUACGAACUAUGGAUGAAAGCGGGGGACCGUAAGGCCUCGCGAGAUUGGAGCGGCCGAUGUCAGAUUAGGUAGUUGGUGGGGUAAAGGCUCACCAAGCCAACGAUCUGUAGCUGGUCUGAGAGGACGACCAGCCACACUGGGACUGCGGCCCGGCCCAGACUCCUACGGGAGGAAGCAGUGGGGAAUUCUGGACAAUGGGCGCAAGCCUGAUCCAGCAAUGCCGCGUGCAGGAAGAAGGCCUUCGGGUUGUAAACUGCUUUUGUACGGAACGAAAAGACUCUAGAUAAUACCUGGGGCUCAUGACGGUACCGUAAGAAUAAGCACCGGCUAACUACGUGCCAGCCGCCGCCGUAAGAC